UACGGAGGGUGCGAGCGUUAUUCGGAAUUACUGGGCGUAAAGCGCGUGUAGGCGGGCUGAAAAGUCUGAUGUGAAAGCCCUGGGCUUAACUGGGGAAGUGCAUUUGAUACUGUCAGGCUUGAGUACCGGAGAGGGUGGGGGAAUUCCAGGUGUAGAGGUGAAAUUCGUAGAGAUCGGGAAGAACACCAGUGGCGAAGGCGCCCACCUGGUCCGUAACUGACGCUGAGACGAGAAAGCGUGGGGAGCAAACAGG
rnacentral:rRNA from 1 species